UCCACAGAAAUACUCUCACUUCCAAGCAAAGAUUCCUGCACCACAUGAUGAGCAGAAUUCCCAGAUGGCCUCCCAAAGCUGUGACAUUGUCAGAGUCAUUCAAACCAGAGUGACCCCAUCUUGAAUGGGGGCUGGGUAAAAUAAGCCUGAGACAUGUUGGGCUGCAUUCCCGGGAGGUUAGGCAUUCUUACUCAUAGGAUGAGAUAGACGAUUGGCACAAGAUGCAGGGGAAGAUUUGAAGCAAGCCGAUGAUUUGAUGCACUAUAUCUGGCUUAAAGAUGGAGAGGACUAUUUAGUGUAGAAUGUAGGUGAUUUACAGAAGAUGAGAGCAGCUCCCAGUUAAUGGUGAUUGAAGAAAUGGGGACUCCCAUCCUACGACUUCAAAGAACUCAAUUUCCUGAGAACCAUGCUGUUCUUCUGACAGACUGAACUGUGAACUAAUAAUCAAAUAUUGUUUUAAGUCACUCAGCCUGUGGCAAUCCUUUACUCAGCAAUAGAAAAAUAAUAUACAUCCUUUAUGAUUAGUCAUUCCUUUGGGCUAUUGAUAAUUUUUAUAUAUUUAUUUCACAAAUAAUCUUAUUUUUCUCAUCAUUUCACCCCCCUGAAUAUUCAUUACUAUCAAAAGUUAUCUCCAAACAUUAAAUAUUAUAUUUUAUACAAAUUUCUGGUUAUAUGUCACCUUUAACUAUCAAAGAGAUAAUUCAUACACAAAUGUUCUCAAACUGCAUAUGUAAACUCAACAUCUUCCACAACUGGUUCUUCUUACGCUUUAUAACCAAUCAUUUUACAAAUAGCCAAAGCUUUGUACGCAUGUUAGUCCUGACAUGUCUGUUGAUUUUAAACAAAAAUGCAUAGUUAAGCCAUUCACCCUUCCUUUCACAGUUGUAUAGCUGGUAUUACUGGAGGAUUACUUUCAAUGUAUAUGCAGAAACUAAAGUUAUUAAAGAACUCUAAACUAAAACAUGAUUCUAAAACUAUAUUCCAUUUUUGUCUUUUUAUAUUUUAUUGAUUUCUCAAAAGAAUAUGUAAAUACAGUCAUCUAACUAUGAGGACUGAUUAUACUUCUCUCUAUAACAUACUAUGAAUCCACAGUGACUAUAAAUAAGCAUAAACAAUGACCAAAAGACACAAAAAUGAAAGGAAAUAACCUGGAAGACACAAAAAUAAUUAACUAUUCAAAAGUUUCUUUACUCUUGUAUCUUGAGGCGUUUGCCACACAGG